rnacentral:rRNA from 1 species
AGUGAACGCUGGCGGUAGGCCUAACACAUGCAAGUCGAACGGCAGCACAGUAAAAGCUUGCUCUUACGGGUGGCGAGUGGCGGACGGGUGAGGAAUACAUCGGAAUCUACUUUUUCGUGGGGGAUAACGUAGGGAAACUUACGCUAAUACCGCAUACGACCUACGGGUGAAAGCAGGGGAUCUUCGGACCUUGCGCGAUUGAAUGAGCCGAUGUCGGAUUAGCUAGUUGGCGGGGGAAAGGCCCACCAAGGCGACGAUCCGUAGCUGGUCUGAGAGGAUGAUCAGCCCCACGGGAACUGAGACCCGGGCCAGACUCCUACGGGAGGCAGCAGUGGGGAAUAUUGGACAAUGGGCGCAAGCCUGAUCCAGCCAUACCGCGUGGGUGAAGAAGGCCUUCGGGUUGUAAAGCCCUUUUGUUGGGAAAGAAAAGCAGCAGGUUAAUACCCCGCUGUUCUGACGGUACCCAAAGAAUAAGCACCGGCUAACUUCGUG